UUCAGUUCAUAAGCCAUGGACAAAAGUGUGCUGCUGGUCCUGCUGUGUCUGCAGGCUCUUCUGCUCAUCACAGCCUUCAAUUCUACUGAUCCAACCACUCUGGAGAGAAAUGAUCUUCAGCAACAGGCUGUUGUGGCGAAGAAUUGGACAAGAAAAUACAAAUCAAAGGAGAAAAAGCCCAAACAUGGAGGAUGUCACGGGAAUCCAGGGGCAUGUGGCUUCCCGGACCAGUAGUGUCUUGAUGGUAUAUUGGAGCAAUACACCGACACCAUGUUCCCACUUGACAACCAACUAAAAAUCACCCCAAGAACAGAUCUCAUCACAGAAAAUGAUACUGCUUAUUGUUUCAUAAUUGUUGCGUAUGUUUUCUAUUUUGGAUGUAAAAGUAUAGUAACCUACUUUUUCCCCCACAACCUUGUAAUUCGUUCUCUUCCUGCUGAUCUUAUCUAACCUCAAUGAGUUGCUUGUUUCGAAAUC